rnacentral:rRNA from 1 species
UGGGGAAUUUUGGACAAUGGGCGAAAGCCUGAUCCAGCCAUGCCGCGUGAGUGAAGAAGGACUUCGGGAUGUAAAGCUCUUUUAGCCGGAAAGAAAGAGAUGCCAUGAAUAAUUGUGAUUUAUGACGGUACCGACAGAAAAACCACCGGCUAACUACGUGCCAGCAGCCGCGGAAAUACGUAGGGUGCGAGCGUUAAUCGGAAUUACUGGGCGUAAAGGGUGCGCAGGCGGUCUUGCAAGUCAGAUGUGAAAGCCCCGGGCUUAACCUGGGAAUUGCGUUGGAAACUACAAGACUAGAGUGCAGCAGAGGGGAGUGGAAUUCCAUGUGUAGCAGUGAAAUGCGUAGAGAUGUGGAAGAACACCGAUGGCGAAGGCAGCUCCCUGGGUUGACACUGACGCUCAUGCACGAAAGCGUGGGGAGCAAACA